GGCUCGGUAGCCUAAUUGGAAAAGCACUUGCCUAGCGUAUAAGGGUUGGGAGCUCAAAUCUCUCCUGAGCAG
rnacentral:tRNA from 1 species